rnacentral:rRNA from 1 species
AACGAACGCUGGCGGCACGCCUAACACAUGCAAGUCGAGCGCAGUCCUUCGGGACCGAGCGGCGGACGGGUUAGUAACGCGUGGGAACAUACCCUUCUCUAAGGAAUAGCCUCUGGAAAUGGAGAGUAAUACCUUAUACGCCCUUCGGGGGAAAGAUUUAUCGGAGAUGGAUUGGCCCGCGUUAGAUUAGAUAGUUGGUGGGGUAACGGCCUACCAAGUCUACGAUCUAUAGCUGGUUUUAGAGGAUGAUCAGCAACACUGGGACUGAGACACGGCCCAGACUCCUACGGGAGGCAGCAGUGGGGAAUCUUAGACAAUGGGCGAAAGCCUGAUCUAGCGAUGCCGCGUGUGUGAUGAAGGUCUUAGGAUCGUAAAGCACUUUCACCAGGGAUGAUAAUGACAGUACCUGGAAAAGAAACCCCGGCUAACUCCG